rnacentral:rRNA from 1 species
GUAGGUGGCAAGCGUUGUCCGGAAUUAUUGGGCGUAAAGCGCGCGCAGGCGGUUCUUUAAGUCUGAUGUGAAAGCCCACGGCUCAACCGUGGAGGGUCAUUGGAAACUGGGAGAACUUGAGUACAGAAGAGGAAAGCGGAAUUCCACGUGUAGCGGUGAAAUGCGUAGAGAUGUGGAGGAACACCAGUGGCGAAGGCGGCUUUCUGGUCUGUAACUGACGCUGAGGCGCGAAAGCGUGGGGAGCAAACAGGAUUAGAUACCCUGGUAGUCCACGCCGUAAACGAUGAGUGCUAAGUGUAGGGGGUUUUCCGCCCCCCUUAGUGCUGCAGCUAACGCAUUAAGCACUCCGGCCUGGGAGUACGGCCGCAAGGCUG